GGCCGCUCUAGAACUAGUGGAUCCCCCGGGCUGCAGCCCAAUGUGGAAUUCGCCCUUAUUACCGGGGCUGCUGGCACGUAGUUAGCCGGCGCCUAUUCGAAAGGUACACUCACCCGAAGGCUUGCUCCCAAACAAAAGAGGUUUACAACCCGAAUAGACAUGCACUUAAUCUGCCAUUGGCACGACAGCAACUGUUACUGGAU
rnacentral:rRNA from 1 species